CAAUCCUUUCUUUAAGUUGUUGACUAUGCUAAUGGAGUUUGCUGGUGGACCUCCAGGAAUGCCUCCCUUUGCAUCUUAUAUUCUGCAGAGGAUAUGGGAGGUGAUUGAAUACAAUCCUUCUCAGUGUCUAGAUUGGUUGGCAGUGCAGACACCCCGAAAUAAACUGGCACACAGCUGGGUCUUACAGAAUAUGGAAAACUGGGUCGAGCGGUUUCUUUUGGCUCACAAUUAUCCUAGAGUGAGGACUUGUAAGUCAAAUAUUUAGAAUUUCAUAAACCAUUUAUUUAUUGUUCAAAGUUAUGUUUCAUUUUGUUUUUAGGCAACUAUGACAUGCCCAUUGUUGUAUACUACGAAAUUCUUGGAGA
rnacentral:sRNA from 1 species